rnacentral:rRNA from 1 species
GACGAACGCUGGCGGCGUGCCUAAUACAUGCAAGUCGAACGCUUUUUCUUUCACCGGAGCUUGCUCCACCGAUAGAAAAAGAGUGGCGAGCGGGUGAGUAACACGUGGGUAACCUGCCCAUCAGAAGGGGAUAACACUUGGAAACAGGUGCUAAUACCGUAUAACACUAUUUUCCGCAUGGAAGAAAGUUGAAAGGCGCUUUUGCGUCACUGAUGGAUGGACCCGCGGUGCAUUAGCUAGUUGGUGAGGUAACGGCUCACCAAGGCAACGAUGCAUAGCCGACCUGAGAGGGUGAUCGGCCACACUGGGACUGAGACACGGCCCAGACUCCUACGGGAGGCAGCAGUAGGGAAUCUUCGGCAAUGGACGAAAGUCUGACCGAGCAACGCCGCGUGAGUGAAGAAGGUUUUCGGAUCGUAAAACACUGUUGUUAGAGAAGAACAAGGAUGAGAGUAGAACGUUCAUCCCUUGACGGUAUCUAACCAGAAAGCCACGGCUAACUACGUGCCAGCCGCCGCGGUAA